rnacentral:lncRNA from 1 species
CCCACCAGCCGAGGUGAUACUAGCAAUUGUGAAUUAAGUUUCAAAAUUUUGGAGCCAUAUUACAGUAAAUGAGUAGUCAAGUACACCAAGAAAUCUACUGGAAUAUCUAUGUAUGAGGAAUUUUUAUGUCAUUUGUGUUGCACACCGACGAAUUUGAGACACCACCAGUGUGAUAACUUCAUUCCUCUCCAAAUCUCACUGGCCCAAAAUGUGGAGAAAACAAACUCUAAAUUGGAGUCAAACAAUUGAAGUUCUCAAACUUACAGCUGCUCCUGAUCUGGAGACGAGCUUACAAUCGUCUGAAAAUUAAGACGAAUUUACAGGUCAACAAGAAUAAACCACAAGAAAAAUGGAUAAUUUCAGGCUUCACAUAUGCUAUUUCAUGGGCUAUGUUAUUCCGCAUAAGCAUUUUCAGUCAGAAACGACUACACGAAUAAAACUGGAACAUGCUUACACUUCCUAACAUAUCAAAGUAAAUAUAAGGUAUAAAUUUCAAAAGAAAAGCAGCAGCAUACACCAAAAUCCAUUUCAAAGUAGUAUAUUUUGAAUGGUGUCGCUAAUAAAGUACCAUAAACUUUUGAUGAAACUAGACAAACGAUAUAAUAUUGUCACAUCACUCCAAAAAAGUAACCUAGCCGACAAGUUAGCCAAAGGCUUCAUUGUGCAUACAAACGAACAACUCAGUAACAUCAUGUCCGUACUUCAAUCAGUAAGCAGUGGAUAUAAUAAAUAACAUCAGCUAACACAUGAUGCUAUCAUGUUAGGAUAUUACAAGUUCAAUAUGCUUAUAGAUAUCAACCAGCUUAAGUCAAACACACUAGACCUUGGAUCCAGGAAUACAAUAUUGCUCCAUAUUGGCCAAUCUUUCCCAAGCCUUUUGUUCCAGUUUUGGCAUACAAAAUCAUAAAGUACUACAUAUUUACUUUCGAAUACAAAACCUGCAAAAACUACAGCAGUGUCAAGGACAGAUUCUUGUCUUAUCUAAUAGCAUUCUCAACUCUAGGUAAUAUAGAUGUCCAUGACUUCUGCAUUUGGCAUUACCAUGAUCACUAUCCAGGAAAAAACUCUUUUUACCCUCACUUUCUAACUUGCCUAAAUGAUAACUAUCAGCCUGGCACCAGUCACUAAUCAAUUCAAUAAACAUGCAAAUAGAACCUUCAUUCCAUGAUCUCCAAUCACACCAAAGUAACCAUUUGUAGCAACUACUGCUUCAAAAUCCUACAUUCAACAAAUUGAGAUUGAAAGUUUGAAACACCCUGCAUAAAAGGUUAAACGUUUUGAUGUUUGGAAGUGCAACAAGGUUAAAAGUAAGAGUUCCAAGAAAAGCAAGUUCCCGAUUGUGCUUGACUUUCUUUUUCCAAGUAUAAUGUUGCCAACUUAAUUGUAAAGAACCUGUGUUUUAGUAUUUUAGACUGCUCAUGGAGAAGAGAAAAUGGUGUGGAACAGCAAUCUAGGAGAAGGUGGUGAUGAUCGUUUUGGAUAAUGGAGAAGAUAAUAACUUAUAUCAAAAGGUGAUGAUAAUGAUGAUGAAGACUAUAUCAGCAGCAAUGAAGAAGAAGAAGAUGCCAGAUUGCAGGUGGGAGGAGGACAAGGCAGUAAAGUAAAUGUUGCUUGUGGAAAAGACAGUGGUAAUGCAAAAGAUGACAAGUUAAGAUGCAGAGCGAGAAUGAAACGAGGGAGCAGAGAGAGACCAGUGAUAUAAUGGAUAAUAUGGUGGGUGCAAUAGUGUAGAUUGACGAUAAUUGUGAUAAGCAAUCUCUGAUGAUGACAAUCGGACAUGGACAACGGCGAUAUGUGAUAAUUGAUGUGUUUGGAAAUGAUCUUCAAGAAGAUUUAGAAGACAGGAAUUACUUCGUUCUUUUUUUUCUUCUUAUUUCUUCUUUGACUAUAUUAUCGGAUUUGAAGGAAAUUAGUAGCUUUUUGCAUAAAUCCGUCGUAUUCAAUUUUUUUCUUAUUCAUCAAACCCAGAUAAUAAAGUUAACACAAGGUAUUUGCACAUCGUAUAAAAAAAAACAUCAUGAAGCAUCAUCACUUUUUGGAAUUUAUCAGCUCCUUAAUCCUAUAAUAGUUUUUUUCCCCCUUUAUUCUUGAGCUGAUACUUCCAUCUCUUUUGUAACCUAUGAGUCUUCUUGAUGCUUUUUGUUAAUGAUAUUCCACUUAUUUCAUCAAGAAAAGAAAUACCAGAUACAGACGAGUUGAUUCCUCCCCCCCCCCCCCCCCCCCCCCCCCCCCCCCCCCCCCUGCCCCUCCCCCCCGCUUUCUGCUACCACAUCAAUCUAAGCUAUGGAAAGAUGAUUACUCUGUAAAAAGUACUCCCUCCGUCCCAAUUUAUAUGACACUCUUUCCUUUUUAGUCAGUCCCAAAAAGAAUGACAUCUUUGCAUAAACAAUUCAACUUUAAAUUUUCCCUUUUACCAUUGAUGAGAUGAUUUCUAGUCACACAAAUUUUUAUGGCUUGUUUUAAAUCACAAGUUUCAAAACAUUUCUUUUAGAUUUUAAACUCCGUGCUCAGUCAAACACCUUCACAGAAAUUGGGACGAAGGGAGUAAGUGUUUUAGAAAGCUUGGUUAAGGUUAGCUACAUUAGGUUCUCAUUAGAACUGCUCACUCAACCUAAAAAGUUAGUGCUCUCAAAUGUAUCAUACUAUUCACAACAAGGAUGUCAUAAGAGCAAUAAAGUGUGAUAAGGCAUUCAGCAUAACCGCUACCGACUGUUAGGGUAAAACGGCCCAAAGAUACUUUUAACAUGGUGUGAUAUUGUCCGCUUUGGGCCAAACGACUUUGUUCACACACUCCCAACACCAACAAGGCAAACAAUACAAGUAUAACCACUGUGCACAGUGCUUUAGCAACAACGGGUAACUUGCUAAAUUUUCUUCCUAAGAAAGUAAUUAGAACAACUUUUACAAGAUUUUUAGGACAGGAUACAAAAUUCAUAAGCUACAUCAGAUUAGGGUUUCUUCGACGUAUUCUUCUUUUAUACGCAUUCUCCUCGUUUUUUCUCAAUCAAAUUUAUUUACCUAUCAAAGAAAAAUUAUAAACUUUGAUAUUUGGACCUGAGAGUUCAAUAUUAGACUGAAUAGCUUGGAAACAUCCCCAACAAAAAAAUAUAACUAAACACAUAUACAUAAAUAUUUGAUCAUUAACAAGUUUAUGUCAAUUAACCAGGAACCAGGAAGUUCCUCCGCGGCCGAAACUACUUACAUCAGGUAGCUACAAAAGUGUAUAAAUUUGUAUAGUUUUUGUAUAUAGCAUACAUAAAUGUAUAUAUAUAUAUAUACAAAAAGUAUAUAUUUUUCGGCUAUUAUUUUGAGAGCGGCUAUACAAUGUCAUUUUACCAAUAUAGAAAUAGCUUUGUAGACCAGCCCAAUUUCAGCUCCAAACUUCCAACACUUUUUCUUAGUCAAUAUUUUAUAAAUUAAAAGAUCCAUCUAAACCAAAUGCUUGCAUAAGUAAAAGUAUAUUCAACAGCUUACAACACAUUAUCACUUGAAAACCUCCAUGUAACAAAAAAAUUCAAAUUUUCAAACGAGCAUAAUAGUAAAUAAUGGAUAAAAAUAGGAAAAGAAAUUAAGAUGGAAUUUAACAAAAAAGGGUAGCAAGAAAUCACCUGGGCUGGAUCAAAUUCUGGCCAUUUUGACGAGGAAGAAGCAGAGGAAACAUAAGAAUAUGAAGAGGUAAAGAUAAUCUGCAAUCACAAAUAAUUUGGUGGAUCCGUAAUUCCUAUUUGCCUUCUUCUUUGAUGUGUCUUCCAUUGAUUCCAGCUUCGCCAUUAAUAAUACAAUCAGAAGAGCAAAUCGAAAAUUUCAAAGGCAAUGUAGCAAUAGAUCUUAUUCUGUUGGGAAGAUAUAUGAAGAGAAAAUAAUGUGUUCUUUUACAUAAAUUUUACUCCAAGUAAAUAUUUUUAUUAUCUCAGCUUACGCUUACAGCUUGUUUGAAUGGUUGUUAAUAUAUGUAUUGUAAAGAAAAAUUAUGAUUCGGGGUAAAAUUAUUAUAUAAAAAUAUAGGUAAAUGAUAAAAUAAAAUUAUUUAAUAAUAAAAGGGUG